GUGUCAUGAUGUUCUACAAACACAUCAUUCUGACCUAAACUUAUGGGGAGAAUCUUGGAUAACUGAGCACA